rnacentral:rRNA from 1 species
UACGUAGGGUGCGAGCGUUGUCCGGAAUUAUUGGGCGUAAAGAGCUCGUAGGCGGUCUGUCGCGUCGAUCGUGAAAACUUGGGGCUUAACCCUGAGCUUGCGGUCGAUACGGGCAUGACUGGAGUUCGGCAGGGGAGACUGGAAUUCCUGGUGAGCGGUGAAAUGCGCAGAUAUCAGGAGGAACACCGAUGGCGAAGGCAAUCCCCGUGGGCCUGCAACUCGACGGCUCAUGCACGAAAGCGUGG